UUUUUUUAAAGAAAUCGUAACACACGCACGAACGGAAGUGAGCACGGACCACAACAGAAGCAAUAUUCAAUUGGUUGGAGUGCCGAAAACAGAACAGGAGAGGAAAGAAGGCAGGAACGAUUCGAUCCUCCAACGUGCUAGCGCCUGGUAGAGGAGAAGCGGCAGGAAGGUAGAGACGAACAUCCACCUCGCUAGUGCAGCACGUGGGAGCAGCAAGAGGGAAGCAAGCAGGACGCGUACACACCAUUCGACGAAGGCAAAGCUGGAGGAAAGGAAGAACGAGGAGAGAAGGCAGGCAAGACGGGUACGUGUGUAUCCCGCACCGAUUUUCGGCAGUGUGAAUUGUGUGAGUAUUUAAAAGUGUAUGUGCGAGUAAAGAGGUAAAAAUAAAGAGCGAAUGUGUGGAAUGGAAAAUGAGAGAGAGUCUGAGUUUGUUUUGGGAGAAAGGAGAGAAUAAAGAAAUUGUACAAUAAUGUAGCAUACAGAAACUACAUGUAUGAUACACGCUGUCGCACGGUUGCAGAAACGUGCUCUUUAGUGCUGCUAAUGAGCACGAUUUGAGAACGUUUUGAGCCCAUUUUUUCUCAUACAAAAUUUUAAAAUGUCGCGCGAUAAUGUCGGUUGGGUGGCGCCCGAUUAGACGAUCCGAUAGAAGCACUUUUCAGGCUUAACGGAUUGAGCGAGAUACACCGUCGCGGCGACACGAUACAUGUUGCAUACAUGUGUACUACAUUUUAAGAGCCCCCCUCGCUUUCUUUCGGAUUGCAAUGAGUUCAGACACACUUAAAACUUCGUUUAACAUAUUUCAUAUUCGUUUUUUUUAUUUUCACUUUCUUUUCUGAAGUACAUUCUUUCAUACACACAUCCUCCCCCAGGUAUUUUUCGAAGAAACUAAAAAAAAACUAACGCACACAACUAGAUCCGCGAGAGAGUGCGAAUCGGCAAAGAAAAAAAAAACAUACACACACACACACACACACACACACAUACACACACACUAACACCUCCUCCUCCCCUUGGUGUUUUUCGCAAAGUGAUCCCGUAGAACGUGAACGCAAAAACACACACACAAAGCACGCAGGCAAGCACACACAUACCUCACUCCUCCCCCCCCCACGUGUUUUCGCAAGGUGAUUCCGUAGGAGAUCGCCAAACAGCAAAAGCACACAUACACACACAUACACAGCCAUGCACGUAUGCAAGCACACAUACACACACAUACACAGCCAUGCACGCAUGCAAGCACACAUACACACACAUACACAGCCACGCACGCAUGCAAGCACACACACACAUACACACACACCUACCCCUCCCCCUCUCUUGGUGUUUUUCGCAAGGUGAUCCCGUAGGAUCUCGUUAUGCGAAGCGGCAAAAACACACACAGCCACGCACGCAGGC